CAUGCCGAGGAGGAAGCGAGUCCCCACGUGAAUAAUCGGGCUCCGCCGGCUCACAGCGGAUGUCAGAAGGUUGCUGGCAGAGGUGGUUGGGGCUAUGUGCCUGGAGUGAAGAUUCUGCCCAUUGGUCAAGAGACCUCCCUCUCAGAUGCUGGCUCUGCCCCUGCCUUUGGGGGUCGACCCUUGUACUCGCAGGACCUUAGGUGACUCUAAAACUCGGGAAAUAUCAAAAACUUCCAAAAAAUAUAAAGAAUCAGAAAAAGCGGCCGGAUGCAGUGGCUUACACCUGUAAUACCAGCACUUUGGAAGGCCAAGGUGGGUGGAUCACCUGAGAUCAAGAAUUCGAAAACAGCCUGGCCAACGUGGCAAAACCCCCAUCUGUACCCAAAAUACAAAAAUUAGCCUGGCGUUGCAGCGGGCGCCUGUAAUCCCAGCUACUCAGGGAGGCUGAGGCAUGAGAAUUGCUUAAACCUGGGAGGCAGAGGUUGCAGUGAGCCGAGAUCGCACCACUGCACUCCAGCCAAGGUGACAGAGCAAGACCUCUUCUCAAAAAAGAAAAAGCACCCACAAUUCCAACUGAAAGUUAACUACAUUCUAUAUUUUGUCAUAAUUUGUUUUCCAUCACUUUUUGUAUUUACAUUUAUUUUACAUAUUUAAAUAAAUCCGUAUGUAUAGUUUUGUAUCCCACUUUUUUUGUUUUUUACUUAACAUUGUAACCGUUUUACUAUGUCACUAAAAACUAAAAAUUUUUGAUAGCUGUAUCAUAUUCUACUGUAUGGAUAUACUGUAAUUUACUUAACCAUUCUGUAAUGUUGCAUAAACUAUUUGUUUACAAUAUUUUUCUAUUAAAAAACAAC
rnacentral:lncRNA from 1 species